CAACUGCAACAUUGAUCGAAAAUGAAAUAUUUGAAUAUGCCAGAAGUAAUCUGGCGAUAAUAAAUAUCUUUAUCAAAGAACCAUAUUCUAAGCGAUUCAGGAAGACUGAGAAGAUGAGUAGAAUAGCGUAUAUAGCCAGCUCAGGAGGUUUACUAGGUCUGUGCAUGGGAUUCAGUUUUGUUAGUUUAGCGGAGAUAAUUUACCAUUGUUUCAUCUGUGUCUCUCUUUUCUUCAAGAAAAUACAGAUAGACAGACAAACAGACAGACGUUUACCAGCCAACAGAUACAGAUAAAUCAUCCACAGAUUAAAUGGCUAUCGAUAAAUCGGCCACAGAUUAAUUGGUUAUAGAGAAAAUGGCCACAUAUUCAUCGGCCGCAUAUUGAUCAGACACAUAAAUAUCAGCCACAGGUUAAUAGACUUCAUAUUAAUCCACAUUAUAGGCCACAGAUAAAUCAGCCACAGAUACAUAGGCUACAGAUAAAUCGGUCUCAGAUAAAUAGGCAACUGAUAUAUCGGCCAUAGAUAAAUCGGUCUCAGAUAAAUAGGCAACAGAUAAAUAGGCCUCAUAUAUAUCGGCCACAGAUAAAUCGGCCACAGAUUUAUCGGCCACAGAUAUAUCGGCCCUCAGAUAUACCGGCCUCAGAUACAAAGGCCACAGAGAAAUAGGCCUCAGAAAAAUCGGCCACCAAUAAAUAAGCCACAGAUAUAUCAGCCACAGAUAAAUAGGCCACAUAACCCCGGUUUGAUUUCUCUAUAUAUAUUUUUCUAGAAAAAAUAAAAAAUAAAAAAUUAUAGAUUUGUCCAAUGUCCAGCAAAUAUGUCUUCUUCCCUCAUUUAUAAUAAUAAAACCUUCUCAGUAUUUUUCCAUUAAGAAAAUCAUAUGUUGAUAAUUAUUUGAUAAUGUAUUUUGAACCCAGUCUAUGUUAAAAACGCAAAAAUUGGUCACAGAUUUUUUUCUUUGGACCAGCCGUAGCGGUGUAACUUUUUUGACUUAAAUUCAAUUUAUAUAUAAAAUAUAUUCAAUGAUUUGGUCAGACAGGUUGUCAUACAUAGAUACUCGCGAGUAUUUAAUUUGAUUAGAUUUUACUUUUUAGAAAUAUAAAAACGAAGCAUAGAUUUAUGCUUGCAUUUUUGUAGAGCAAAAAGAUUUUUAAAAUUCUAAAAAUUUAAAAAAAUUAAGACAGGGUCCGUCCGAUUGCAACAUUGAAUAAAAAAACUAUGAGGUUGAACAAGUAAAGAAGUUGAAAGAGUUUUAAUGUUGUAAUAAUUUAGCACUGGAUUUUUAAAACCGGGAUGAGUAAAACCAUGGCAUAAAAAAGACGGAAUGCGGAUAUUUUUUUAAAAAUCACCCUUCAGCUUAAACUUUCUUCAUUUUGUGAGUUAUAAAAUCUAAGAAUUUUUUAAAGGGAUUGACCGGCUAUUUAAGGUAGUUGAAAUGAGUAUUUAGUGUUGUGGAAAACUUUUUUCGGAUUCAUUUGAGACAUAUUAAACUUUUUAAAGAUCUGUAAAU